rnacentral:rRNA from 1 species
AGAGUUUGAUCAUGGCUCAGGAUGAACGCUAGCGGGAGGCCUAACACAUGCAAGCCGAGCGGUAUUGUUUCUUCGGAAAUGAGAGAGCGGCGUACGGGUGCGGAACACGUGUGCAACCUGCCUUUAUCUGGGGGAUAGCCUUUCGAAAGGAAGAUUAAUACUCCAUAAUAUAUUGAACGGCAUCGUUUAAUAUUGAAAGCUCCGGCGGAUAGAGAUGGGCACGCGCAAGAUUAGCUAGUUGGUGAGGUAACGGCUCACCAAGGCGAUGAUCUUUAGGGGGCCUGAGAGGGUGAUCCCCCACACUGGUACCGAGACACGGCCCAGACUCCUACGGGAGGCAGC